rnacentral:rRNA from 1 species
AUCAACUUUCGAUUGGUAGGAUAGAGGCCUACCAUGGUGGUAACGGGUAACGGGGUGUUAGGGCACGACACCGGAGAGGGAGCCUGAGAAACGGCUACCACAUCCAAGGAUGGCAGCAGGCGCGCAAAUUACCCAAUCCCGACACGGGGAGGUAGUGACAAUAAAUAACAAUACGGGGUUCUUUCGGAUCUCGUAAUUGGAAUGAGUACAAUUUAAAUCUCUUAACGAGGAACAAUUGGAGGGCAAGUCUGGUGCCAGCAGCCGCGGUAAUUCCAGCUCCAAUAGCGUAUAUUAAAGUUGUUGCAGUUAAAAAGCUCGUAGUUGAAUUUCGGGACCAAUUUGUUGGUCGUGCCUCGGUACGUACUGGUAUUAUUGGUUUCUACCUUCUGAAGAACCUUGAUGUCAUUAAUUUGGUGUCUUGGGGAAUCAGGACUGUUACUUUGAAAAAAUUAGAGUGUUUAAAGCAAGCAUACGCUUGAAUACAUUAGCAUGGAAUAAUGAAAUAGGACGUUUGAUUCUAUUUUGUUGGUUUCUAGGAUCGACGUAAUGAUUAAUAGGGAUAGUUGGGGGCAUUAGUAUUCAAUUGUCAGAGGUGAAAUUCUUGGAUUUAUUGAAGACUAACUACUGCGAAAGCAUUUGCCAAGGAUGUUUUCAUUAAUCAAGAACGAAAGUUAGGGGAUCGAAGACGAUCAGAUACCGUCGUAGUCUUAACCAUAAACUAUGCCGACUAGGGAUCGGAUGAUGUUAAUUUUUUAAUGACUCAUUCGGCGCCUUACGGGAAACCAAAGUGUUUGGGUUC